CGUGUAGGCGGCUGAGCAAGUCAGAUGUGAAAUCCCUGGGCUUAACCCAGGAAGUGCAUUUGAAACUGCUUAGCUUGAGUAAGGAAGAGGGAAGUGGAAUUCCUGGUGUAGAGGUGAAAUCCGUAGAUAUCAGGAGGAACACCGGUGGCGAAGGCGACUUCCUGGUCCUAUACUGACGCUGAGACGCGAGAGCGUGGGGAGCAAACA
rnacentral:rRNA from 1 species